ACGGAGGAUCCAAGCGUUAUCCGGAUUCAUUGGGUUUAAAGGGUGCGAAGGCGGACUUGUAAGUCAGUGGUGAAAUCCUACGGCUCAACUGUAGAACUGCCAUUGAUACUGCAAGCCUUGAGUAUACUUGAAGUGGCUGGAAUGUAUCAUGUAGCGGUGAAAUGCUUAGAUAUGAUACAGAACACCGAUUGCGAAGGCAGGUCACUAAGUUAUAACUGACGCUCAUGCACGAAAGCGUGGGGAUCAAACAG
rnacentral:rRNA from 1 species